UCCGAAUUGGUGUAGUGGCUAACAUUUGACGCUCUCAUAAGUGAAGAACCGUCAAGCCCGGGGUUCGAUUCCCCGAUUCGGAG